AAUGAACGUUGGCGGCGUGGAUUAGGCAUGCAAGUCGAGCGAGAACCGUAGCAAUACGGGGACAGCGGCGAAAGGGACAGUAAUGUGUAGGUACCUACCCCUGGGUUCGGGAUAGCUGCGGGAAACUGCAGGUAAUACCGAAUAAUGUCUCCGGACCAAAGGUGUGGUUCCACCUGGGGAGGGGCCUGCAUCCUAUUAGCUUGUUGGCGGGGUAACGGCCCACCAAGGCAACGAUGGGUAGCGGGUGUGAGAGCACGACCCGCGUCAUUGGGGAUGAGAUACUGCCCAGACACCUACGGGUGGCUGCAGUCGAGGAUCUUCGGCAAUGGGCGAAAGCCUGACCGAGCGACGCCGCGUGCGGGAUGAAGGCCUUCGGGUUGUAAACCGCUGUCGUAGAGGAGGAAAUGCAGGGGGGUUCUCCCCUUUGCUUGACCUAUUCUAGGAGGAAGUACGGGCUAAGUUCGUGCCAGCAGCCGCGGUAA
rnacentral:rRNA from 1 species